CCUACGGGUGGCAGCAGUGGGGAAUAUUGGACAAUGGGGGCAACCCUGAUCCAGCCAUGCCGCGUGUGUGAAGAAGGCCCUCGGGUUGUAAAGCACUUUCAGUGAGGAAGAACGCCUGGUGGUUAAUACCCAUCAGGAAAGACAUCACUCACAGAAGAAGCACCGGCUAACUCCGUGCCAGCAGCCGCGGUAAUACGGAGGGUGCGAGCGUUAAUCGGAAUUACUGGGCGUAAAGCGCGCGUAGGUGGCUUGAUAAGCCGGUUGUGAAAGCCCCGGGCUCAACCUGGGAACGGCAUCCGGAGCUGUCAAGAUAGAGGGCAGGAGAGGGGGGCAGAACCCACGGCGGAGCGGUGAAGUGCGUAGAGGCCGGGAGGAGGACGAGCGGCGAACGUGGCAUCAUGAACUGACGCUGACACUGGGGUGCGUUAGCGUGGGUAGAAGACAGGAUGAGAGACCCCGGUAGUC
rnacentral:rRNA from 1 species